rnacentral:lncRNA from 1 species
AUGAAUAACAAUGGGAUUUGCACUCAUUAUGUUUUCAGAAUGGCUUCACAUAAUUUUCAACUCUGUGAACAAGGACGUUGUCAUGAGUGUCUCCCGGUAACGCACUGCAGCCUACCGUGGCUUUCGGUUAGCAUCCCUGAGUGGAAACGUCUCUGCACCACACGGAUGCUCCUCCACUUACGUGGCGUCUACGCUGACGGGACCCCCGUAAGACCGCUGGUAAGGGGGGGCGUUACUGAAUGCAGAUGGCUUUCAUGCUGUCGUAAAGCUGGCCCGUUGUGAGUCCGGCUGUUGAGAGUCGGGCCUGUCCGUGCGCUGUGCUGUGUCCUCAGUUCUGGGUCCACUCUGCCGUGUGCGAUUCCGGAGUCCCGGAGCACUGCCACUCCUCCUCCUCUGCUGUGUCGAGCAGCGGCUGCCUCCCUCCUUUUCCGAGGGAAUGCUGUGGAGCAGGGGUUCCUAACCAAGCGCUGCUCCCCAUCCGUGGCCUGUUAGGAACUGGGCUGCACAGCAGGAGGUGAGCAGUGGGAGAGUGAGUGAAGCUUCCUCUGUAUUUGCAGCUGCUCCCAUCACUGGUGCUACUGUCUGAGCUCUGCCUCCUGUCACGUCUGUGGUGCGGUGGAUUCUCGUAGGAGCGUGAACCCUGUUGUGAACUGUGCCUGCGAGGAUCUAGGUUGCAUUCUCCUCGUGAUAAUCUUAUGCCUGAUGAUCGUCACUGUCUCCCAUCACCCCCAGAUGGGACCGUCUAGGUCCAGGGAAACAAGCUCACGGUUCCCACUGAGUCUACGUAAUGGUGAGUUGUAUAAUUAUUUUAUUAUAUAUUGUAAUGUAAUAACAAAGAAAUAAAGUGUACAAUAAAUGUAAUGCACUUGAAUCACCCCAAAACCAUCCCCCUGUCCCUGCUGUCAGUGGAAAAAUUGUCUUCCACAAAACCCAUCUCUGGUGCCAAAGAGGCCGGGGACCGCUGCUCUGGAGGCUCCCUGCCUGUCUUCCUCAGUCCUGCAGCCUGGCCUUUACGUGACUGUGAAAGCUUUGUAAUAAGAAU